rnacentral:rRNA from 1 species
AGGGUUUGAUCCUGGCUCAGAACGAACGCUGGCGGCGUGGCUAAAACAUGCAAGUCGAACGGGAAAGCCCCUUCGGGGGCAAGUACAGUGGCGGACGGGCGAGGAAUACAUGGGUAACGUACCUUUGGCACAGGGAUAGCCGCGGGAAACUGCGGGUAAUACCUGAUGAGACCACGGUGUCGCAGGACACAGCGGUCAAAGGGCGGGGCUCCUUCGGGACCUGCCGGCCUUAGAGCGGCCCAUGUCCUAUCAGCUAGUUGGUGAGGUAACGGCCCACCAAGGCGACGACGGGUACCGGGACUGAGAGGUUGAUCCGGCGCAUUGGGACUGAGACACUGCCCAGACUCCUACGGGAGGCUGCAGUAACGAAUCUUCUGCAAUGGGCGAAAGCCUGACAGAGCGACGCCGCGUGUAGGAAGAAGCCUUUCGGGGUGUAAACUACUGUCAGGGGCUGCCAAGCGAAGGGUGCUAAUAUCAUCCUGAGUUGAGGAGCCCCAGAGGAAGCCACGGCUAACUUCGUGCCAGCAGCCGCGGUAAGACGAAGGUGGCAAGCGUUGUUCGGAAUCACUGGGCUUAAAGGGCGCGUAGGCGGCUUGUCAAGUGUCUGGUGAAAGACCCCGGCUCAACCGGGGAACGGCUGGGCAAACUGACGAGCUUGAGGCAGGUAGGGGCGAGUGGAACUCUUGGUGGAGCGGUGGAAUGCGUAGAUAUCAAGAGGAACGCCGGAGGCGAAGGCGACUCGCUGGGCCUGUCCUGACGCUGAGGCGCGAAAGCCAGGGGAGCAAACGGGAUUAGAUACCCCGUUAGUCCUGGCCCUAAACGAUGUCCACUAGGCUGAAGGCACUCUGACGUGUUUUCGGCCGAAAUGAAAACGUUAAGUGGACCGCCUGGGGAGUACGGUCGCAAGGCUAAAACUCAAAGGAAUUGACGGGGGCUCACACAAGCGGUGGAGCAUGUUGCUUAAUUCGAUGCAACGCGAAGAACCUUAUCCUGGGCUUGACAUGCAUGAAUACCUACCUGGAAACAGAAUAGGUUGCCCUUCGGGGUGAAGCUUGCACAGGUGCUGCAUGGCUGUCGUCAGCUCGUGUCGUGAGAUGUUGGGUUAAGUCCCGUAACGAGCGAAACCCUUGUCGCUAGUUGCCAGCGGGUCAUGCCGGGAACUCUAGCAAGACUGCCGGUGUUAAACCGGAGGAAGGCGGGGAUGACGUCAAGUCCUCAUGGCCUUUAUGCCCAGGGCUGCAAACGUGCUACAAUGGUCGAGACAAACCGACGCAAAACGGCGACGUCGAGCAAAUCGGAAAAACUCGGCCCCAGUUCGGAUUGGAGUCUGCAACUCGACUCCAUGAAGUUGGAAUCGCUAGUAAUCGCGGAUCAGCUACGCCGCGGUGAAUGUGUUCCUGAGCCUUGUACACACCGCCCGUCAAGUCAUGGGAGCUGGGAGCACCCGAAGUCGGCACGGUUCAGUGCUGCCUAAGGUGAGUUCGGUGACUGAGACUAAGUCGUAACAAGGUA